GGCGGAACUCUGAAGAAGGGGUACCCCCUCACCCCCUUCCUCCUUCCAGAGACGAUUCAGCCGCAAUUGGCCCAAUCCUUCGAUCCCCCGACCCCGCUGCGAGGACUCGAAAGUCUGUGGAAUGGACGGGCCGACUCGGGUCCCGGGGGACGGGGGGGACCAGACGAGAAGUCGCCUCACGGUUCGGGCGUCUGUGCCGAGUGUUCUUCAUCUUGAACUCGAGGAGUAACGCUGUCACGUUAUGCGCGGAACUGGUCACCACCUCACUUGCGGUUGAGAACAGAAAUUCAAAAACUGUAGAGAGCUUCGCGCCUGCCUCCCCUGCCAGGCGAAUGGAAGGUGCCCGCUAACAGGUGCGCAUGCGCCGGGGCGUGUGCUCGCGCUUGGUUGUCCGGGCCCGCCUCCUCCAAGCCCCUCCUCUUGGAAAUCUUGUUUUCCAACCAGGUAGUCUUCCACCGGGUGUCCGUGGCCAAGGAUGGAUCUCAAGGCACCACCCAAUCGUCGUCCCCUGAGUCUCAUUACAUCACCUGUGAGAUAAAUAGAAGAAGGCCCCAUCCAUAAAAUUCUAGUGUCCUUGAACUUCUUCUGCAUGAUGCCUUAACAUACUGCAGAUUGCAAGUCACUUCUUUUGGAGACAAGGAGAGAACUCUUGAGAAUUAGAAAGGGGACAUGGGUUGGAUCCCUGGCUGGGGAACUGAGAUCCUAUAUGCUGCAGGGCAGCUAAGCCUACGCGCUGCAACUAGAGGAGCCUGCACACCGCAGUGAAGACCCAGGACAGCCAGAAGAAAAAACUCAGUGAAACAAAGUGACAGGUUGUGCCUGCCCCCUUCCCUCCUGUUUCACUGGGACUCUUCCCGACCUUGCACCAUGGACCUCUUCAUCUGGCUCUUCAUCAUAUCCUUUUAAUAACCAGUAAAUGAGACAAGGAUUCAAUCCCCGAUACGGGACGAUCCCACAUGCCCGGGAGCAACUAAGCUCAUGUACCACAGCUACUGAACCUGUGCCCGAGAGUCCAUGAGCUGCGACUGUUGAAGCCCAUGACCUUCGACUGCUGAAGCCUGCCUGCCGAGAGCCCCGUUCUGCAACAAGAGGAGCCGCCCCAGUGAGAAUCGCAUGCACUGCAACUAGAGAGUAGCCGCCGAACGCCACAACCAGAGAAAAGCCAGCGCAGCAAUGAAGACCCAGCGCAGCCAAAAAUAAAUAAAUCAGAUAAAUAAAAUAAAAAAGAAUGAAUAGCGUAGGAGAGUGCCCA